rnacentral:rRNA from 1 species
AUUGAACGCUGGCGGCAGGCCUAACACAUGCAAGUCGAGCGGAUGAGUGGAGCUUGCUCCAUGAUUCAGCGGCGGACGGGUGAGUAAUGCCUAGGAAUCUGCCUGGUAGUGGGGGACAGCGUUUCGAAAGGAACGCUAAUACCGCAUACGUCCUACGGGAGAAAGUGGGGGAUCUUCGGACCUCACGCUAUCAGAUGAGCCUAGGUCGGAUUAGCUAGUUGGUGAGGUAAAGGCUCACCAAGGCGACGAUCCGUAACUGGUCUGAGAGGAUGAUAAGGCACACUGGAACUGAGACACGGUCCAGACUCCUACGGGAGGCAGCAGUGGGGAAUAUUGGACAAUGGGCGAAAGCCUGAUCCAGCCAUGCCGCGUGUGUGAAGAAGGUCUUCGGAUUGUAAAGCACUUUAAGUUGGGAGGAAGGGCAGUAAGUUAAUACCUUGCUGUUUUGACGUUACCAACAGAAUAAGCACCGGCUAACUUCGUGCCAGCCGCCGCAGUAAAAC